GACGAACCGAGCGAACGUUGUUCGGAAUCACUGGGCUUAAAGGGCGCGUAGGCGGGUUCGCCAGUCCGUGGUGAAAUCCUCCGGCUCAACCGGAGAACUGCCUCGGAUACUGCGGGCCUCGAGGGUGGUAGGGGUAUGCGGAACUAUCGGUGGAGCGGUGAAAUGCGUUGAUAUCGAUAGGAACUCCGGUGGCGAAGGCGGCAUACUGGACCACUUCUGACGCUGAGGCGCGAAAGCCAGGGGAGCAAACGGG
rnacentral:rRNA from 1 species